UUUUGUUUGUCUUCCGGUGGGGUUCUCUUGUGUUGGUCGUUUGCUCUCUGCUAUUAUUCCUCCAGAAUCACUCAGAAAUCACAAUCAUGCAGUCAUCCUUGUUAAAUUCUACUGUAUCCUUUGGAACUUAUGCUUUCAACAAACCCUAUAAUGAAUCCUCACUUUUUCCCAAGAAGAGUCCGUUUCUCCAUGACUUUGCUCCUCCUAGGAAACUUGUAUUAACGGUCUCUAACAAGAAGCAGAAGCCACUUAUCAUCAAAUCUUCUAUCCAAGAUUUUGUCAAGACAUCUGCUGUAUUGACUAAUCAGAUAUUUCAGUCUGGGUAAGUUCAUAUUAGUUUUUUUGAUAUCUGUUUGUCAUUUAGUUUUUUCAAUCCCUGUCAAACAUGAUUGGUUUUAAAUUUGGUGGAGGACUCUUCGAAAAAGGUGAUUUACCAUUAUUUAAGGGGGAAGACUUGAUACAGUUGAAACACAAUGGGAAGUGCAUUGUUGGAGUGGUGCAGCACAUAGGGUUUUUGGAGACUACUCUUAUAGGUCCUACUGGAUUAAUCAUUCUUCAAAACUCUAAAAUUGAUUUGUGUGCGAUUAUCAAUUUUACUAAAAUAACGGGCAGUGAUAAGCUGUUUGGAUUUCACACCCAUGUUGAUUGCAACACUGAUCCCAGCUUCUUCAUGGAGAAUAUUGAAUCUCUACUUGACAAGGAUGAAAAUGUGAAAGAAAACAUCGCAUACAGUAUUGUUUACAUGUUGCGCGAUCCUGAAAAGAUCCUUGUUUCGUGCUAUGUGAACUGUUCUAAGCUGCAAAUUCCACAGUUUAAAAGUUACCUUCAAUUUGGAGGACAAGUUCUUACUGCUAUUGAUAGGAUUGGUUAUGGAAAUAAGGCUGUUGCAAAUUAUUCAAAUUUAGAGGAUUAUCAUAAAUCAUUGGGGGUCCAAUUGUAGAUUAUUAGAUAAGAAAAUUUUUAAUACAGGUGUAAUUUUUUGUUUCAAAAACUUGAUUUCAUUUUCUUGUCACCACUCUUAAAACCCAUGUUCCUAAACAACCACUCUUAAGAACUGCUGGUUGGGUGAUCUGACAAGAGUAGACUAGCUAUGGAAGCCAAUUGGAUUGCAAGGGGUGUCCCCUAUGUGUAUUGUGUUUGGAAGAAGAAGAAAAUGCAGGCCAUUUGAUGCAGGGGCGGAGCCAGCUUAGAGCAUGGGUGUGCAGUUGCACACCCAGCCUAGCUGGUUCCCAGGCUCAUUUUUAGCUAGGACCAUUUGAAAAUUUUAGUCCCAUUUUGCACCCCAUCAAUGAACCCAUAUCGGUGACUUCAAAACCUGGCUCCGCCCCUAAAUUUUGGAUGUUAACUCGUCAAGUGUGGGGCUUGAUCAUUUUGGGUUACAAGGCAGGAGAGAAAAUCUAGAAAAGCAUGAAGAAAGAGGAUUUGGUCUUGAAUAUUAAAGCUUCAACUUUCUCAUGGUUAUGGUAUUCAAUCCAGGGAUAUACCAUUCCAUUCUACUGAAAACCAUUAUAAAAGGAUGAAUCUUUGUAAUUUUUUACUUUUGAUCCGAUGUUACUCCACUAAACUUAAACCCGACAUUCUCAAACACCAAACCUCCCCUACUCCCUAGGCCAUUUUUUCUUCUCAAAUUCUUCUAAAAAAAACCGGGCUGGAUUUGCCAUCCUCUCACCAAUUUCUGAUCAUGUCGAGUUCUGCUGUAUCUUUUGGACCUCACGCUUUCAACAAACCCUAUACCGAAUCCUCAUUGUUUCCCAAGAAGAAUCCAUUUCUCCAUGACUUUGUUCCUGCAAAGAAACUUGUAUUAACAGUCUCCAACAAGAAGCAGAAGCCACUUAUUGUCAAUUCUUCUAUCAAGGACUCAGUCAAAACAUCUGCUGUAUCAGUAUUUCAGUCCCUUGCAUCUUUUGAUACAUGGGUUGUUCAGUCUUUAUCAAACCUGAUUGAAUUUAAACCUAAAGCUAAUCGACUCUCUAGUGGACUCUUCGUAGAGGGGGAUUUAAUACAGUUGAAACACAAUGGGAAACGUAUUCCUUUAAUGGUGCAGCACAUAGGGUUUUUGGAGACAACUCUUACAUGUAUUGGUGGAUUAAUCAUUCUUCACAAUCAUAAAAUCGAUAAGGGCUCGAUUACCAAUCUCACUAUAAGGGUACCUGCUACGAAGUUAGAUAAUGAGCAGCCAGAGGACUAGAUGCAGAGCAGGUUGAGGCACAAGCACCUUUUGAGAAUUACUUCACAAUUAGAGAUACCUUGCUUUUAAAGCUGCAUAAGCUUACCGACACGUACGAUUACUCGAGUAGUUUAACAUCAGAAUCGACUUCUACCAUCUCAUAGUUAUCAAGUAAAGGCAAAACAUAGGGUAAGCCAAUACUUAUGUUUACGGUGUACAGAAUUUCAAGACGUAUCGUUGUAGUAAUUUCGACUUCUGAAGUCCAAUAUCUCCUUUCUUAUGCGAGGGUUUUAUAUAUUUUACUGGCUAGUCUCUCUCACAGCAAUAUUCAGUUGGUUUUCUGUUCAUUCUCUUGAAAAGUGAGGGUGAAAUUCUUGUUGAUUAUAUAAGAAUCAUACAAGAAAGUUAGCCGUAUUCAACAUCUCAGUAACUUGUGAUUUUGCUUCAAACUAAUGUAUGAAAGUUCUGGUGUAAUUUUGAUUUGUGCACAUGUUGGAUUGUUCAACUUCACAAUGCAAGUAAAAAGCGAAAGUGAAACUGUACUAGACCUCUGUCGUUGCCUUAGAAUUCUGCUUUUGCCAUUUUCAAGAAACAUAAGUUUUCGUGUAUGAUUAAAGAUGCAAUUUUUACUUUA